rnacentral:misc_RNA from 1 species
GAAAUGCGAUAAGUAAUGUGAAUUGCAGAAUCCAGUGAAUCAUCGAAUCUUUGAACGCACCUUGCGCCCUUUGGUAUUCCGAGGGGCAUGCCUGUUUGAGAGUCAUUAAAUUCUCAACCUUACAAAUUUUUUGUUAAGGCUUGGAUGUGAGAGUUGCUGGUUACAUUUUUAACUGGCUCUCUUGAAAAUCAUUAGUAGGACAUGUAGAAAUGCCUGCGGUUGGUGUGAUAAUAAAUGUCUACGCCUAUACCAAAGGGGAUUCUUACUAGCUACUUAUAAAAUAAUGCGCAUAUAUCCUAGUAUAUACACGCAUAUAUUGACCAUUUGACCUCAAAUCAGGUAGGACUACCCGCUGAACUUAA